rnacentral:rRNA from 1 species
CCUACGGGGGGCAGCAGUGGGGAAUAUUGCACAAUGGGCGAAAGCCUGAUGCAGCAACGCCGCGUGAGCGAUGAAGGCCUUCGGGUUGUAAAGCUCUGUCCUCAAGGAAGAUAAUGACGGUACUUGAGGAGGAAGCCCCGGCUAACUACGUGCCAGCAGCGGCGGUAAUACGUGGGGGGGUAGCGUUAUCCGGAGUUACUGGGCGUAAAGGGUGCGUAGGUGGUUUCUUAAGUCGGAGGUGAAAGGCUACGGCUCAACCGUCGUAAGCCUUUGAAACUGGGGAACUUGAGUGCAGGAGAGGGAAGUGGAAUGCCUAGUGUAGCGGUGAAAUGCGUAGAUAUUAGGAGGAACACCAGUUGCGAAGGCAGCUGACUGGACUGCAACUGACACUGAGGCUCGAAAGUGUGGGUAGCAAACAGGAUUAGAUACCCCGGUAGUC